rnacentral:tRNA from 1 species
UCCUCGUUUUUAUAAUGGUAAGUAUCCCUGCCUGUCACGCAGUAGACCAGGGUUCGAUUACCCGAUGGGGAG